rnacentral:tRNA from 1 species
GAGGGUAUAGCUCCAUGGUAAAGUGCAUGCUUAGCAGGCAUGAGGUCCUGGGUUCAAUCCCGCAGUACCUCCA